rnacentral:rRNA from 1 species
GACGAACGCUGGCGGCGUGCUUAACACAUGCAAGUCGAACGAAGAGCGACGGAAGCUUGCUUCUAUCAAUCUUAGUGGCGAACGGGUGAGUAACGCGUAAUCAACCUGCCCUUCAGAGGGGGACAACAGUUGGAAACGACUGCUAAUACCGCAUACGAUCUAACCUCGGCAUCGAGGAUAGAUGAAAGGUGGCCCCUACAUGUAAGCUAUCACUGAAGGAGGGGAUUGCGUCUGAUUAGCUAGUUGGAGGGGUAAGGGACCACCAAAGCGAGGAACGGUAGGCCGUCCUGGGGGAGGGACGGCCCACUUGGGACUUGGACACGGCCCAGACUCCUACGGGAGGCAGCAGGUGGGAAUCUUCCGCAAUGGACGAAAGUCUUACGGAGCAACGCCGCCGGAGGGAUGACGGCCUUCGGGUUGUAAAGCUCUGUUAAUCGGGACGAAAGGCCUUCUUGCGAAUAGUGAGAAGGAUUGACGGUACCGGAAUAGAAAGCCACGGCUAACUACGUG